rnacentral:SRP_RNA from 1 species
GCCGAGCACAGUGGCGCGUGCAUGUAGUCCCAGCUACUUGGGAGGCUGAGGCUGGAGGAUCGCGUGAGCCCAGGAGUUCUGGGCUGUAGUGAGCUAGGCCGAUUGGGUGUCUCCACUAAGUUUGGCAUCAAUAUGGUGACCUCCCAGGAGUGGGGGACCACCAGGAGAACGAGUGUGCCAGUGACUGUGUGUGGGUGCAGGGGUUGAGGAAUGGAAGGAGGGGUGAACCGGCCCAGGUAGGAAACAGAGCAGGUCAAAACUCCUGUGCUGAUCAGUAGUGGGAUCGCGCCUGUGAAUAGCCACUGCACUCCAGCCUGGGCAACAUAGUGAGACCCUGUCUCU